rnacentral:rRNA from 1 species
UACGAAGGGGGCUAGCGUUGUUCGGAAUUACUGGGCGUAAAGCGUGUGUAGGCGGCUUCGCAAGUUGGAUGUGAAAUCCCACGGCUCAACCGUGGACGUGCAUCCAAAACUGCGUCGCUAGAGUCUCGGAGAGGAAGGUGGAAUGCUUGGUGUAGAGGUGAAAUUCGUAGAUAUCAAGCAGAACACCUGCGGCGAAGGCGGCCUUCUGGACGAUGACUGACGCUGAGACACGAAAGCGUGGGGAGCAAACAGG